rnacentral:rRNA from 1 species
GAUGAACGCUGGCGGCGUGCCUAAUACAUGCAAGUCGAGCGAACAGACGAGGAGCUUGCUCCUCUGACGUUAGCGGCGGACGGGUGAGUAACACGUGGAUAACCUACCUAUAAGACUGGGAUAACUUCGGGAAACCGGAGCUAAUACCGGAUAAUAUAUUGAACCGCAUGGUUCAAUAGUGAAAGACGGUUUUGCUGUCACUUAUAGAUGGAUCCGCGCCGCAUUAGCUAGUUGGUAAGGUAACGGCUUACCAAGGCAACGAUGCGUAGCCGACCUGAGAGGGUGAUCGACCACACUGGAACUGAGACACGGUCCAGACUCCUACGGGAGGCAGCAGUAGGGAAUCUUCCGCAAUGGGCGGAAGCUUGACGGAGCAACGCCGCGUGAGUGAUGAAGGUCUUCGGAUCGUAAAACUCUGUUAUUAGGGAAGAACAAAUGUGUAAGUAACUAUGCACGUCUUGACGGUACCUAAUCAGAAAGCCACGGCUAACUACGUG